AGCGUUGUUCGGAAUUACUGGGCGUAAAGGGCGCGUAGGCGGCCAACUAAGUCAGACGUGAAAUCCCUCGGCUUAACCGGGGAACUGCAUCUGAUACUGGAUGGCUUGAGAUUGGGAGAGGGAUGCGGAAUUCCAGGUGUAGCGGUGAAAUGCGUAGAUAUCUGGAGGAACACCGGUGGCGAAGGCGGCAUCCUGGACCAACACUGACGCUGAGGAGCGAAAGCCAGGGGAGCAAACGGG
rnacentral:rRNA from 1 species